UACGUAGGUGGCGAGCGUUGUCCGGAUUUACUGGGCGUAAAGCGCGCGCAGGCGGUUCGUUAAGUCCGGUGUGAAAGCUCCCGGCUCAACUGGGAGAGGUCAUUGGAUACUGGCGGACUUGAGGGAUGCAGAGGAAGGUGGAAUUCCCGGUGUAGUGGUGAAAUGCGUAGAGAUCGGGAGGAACAUCAGUGGCGAAGGCGGCCUUCUGGUCCAGUACUGACACUCAAGUGCGAAAGCGUGGGGAGCAAACAGG
rnacentral:rRNA from 1 species